rnacentral:misc_RNA from 1 species
CCUCCUUAAAAAAUAAUCGCUAGGAUAGGCGUUCACAUGAAUUGCUUGCUUUUACCUAAAUCAUAUCUUUAGGGAUAUGAGAUUACGGAGAGUUCUUUAACAUUUUUAUAAGUUCAAUCAAGUCACAUCAUAGUGUUUUAAUUUUUUAAUUUAGAUAUGAAUGAUGUGCAAAUGUCACCAAACCCGUCAUGUUUUAGAACAUAAGUUUGGUGUACAUACUGCAAAGUAAUUUUGGCGAAUGACAAUAGAUACUUGAAGAACAUUAAUCAUUAAGUUGUUUGAUGUAAUAUGGUCAAGUAAAUAAGCGCAUACGGUGGAUGCCUUAGCAGCUAGAGGCGAUGAAGGACGUAGUAACUUGCGAUAAGCUUCGGGGAGCCGGUAAACAGGCUUUGAUCCGAAGAUUCCGAAUGGGGAAACCCAAGGGCA